GCUGACUCUCUUUUCAGACUCAGCCCACUUGCACCCAAGUGAAUUAACAGCCUUGUUGCUCACACAAAGCCUGUUUAGGUGGUCUUCUAUACGGACAUGCUUGACACUUGGUGCCAAAAUCUGGGCCAGGGGGACUCCUUCGUGAGACCGGCCCCCUGUCCUGGCCCUCAUUCCGUGAAGAGAUCCACCUGCGACCUCGGGUCCUCAGACCAGCCCAAGGAACAUCUCACCAAUUUCAAAUCGGAUCUCCUCGGCUUAGUGGCUGAAGACUGAUGCUGCCCGAUCGCCUCAGAAGCCCCUUGGACCAUCACAGAUGCCGAGCUUCGGGUAACUCUUACGGUGGAGGAUUCCCAGCCAUAUGAAGACACCCUAGCUGGACGAUCAGUCCUUGUCAAAAGUCUGACCCCUCAAACUCUACAGCCUCAAUGGACCAGACCCUACCCGGUCAUUUAUAGCACACCAACUGCCGUCCAUCUGCAGGACCCUCUCCAUUGGGUUCACCAUUCCAGAAUAAAGCCAUGCCCAUCAGACAGCCAGCUUGAUCUCUCCUCUUCCUCCUGGAAGCCACAAGAUUAGGCCGAGAGCCGAUCAGACAAACAACCUACAACCCUUAAGCUCCUGGCAGCGCCCAGCCAAGGCCAUGCUUCCUUGCAACACUCCUUCCAAAUGGCCAUCCCAGCAUGCUUCCAAGCAGGCUUCAUCCGUUCCUCUGGACCCUCAUCUCUUAAGACCUGCCGCCUAUAAAAAGGAUUAUAUCUUGAGACCCUAUCCUCUAAAAUUUUUUCCACACCCAAAACAAAAAAUCUCUGGGUCAAAAGUCUAAAACGCUUAGGCUGGCAACCAUCAGAUCCUUGCCCAUGGUGUCCUCAAGCCUACUCUCAUGAAAUGGACAACAGUACACGCAUAUGGGGCCAGUUCCACAUAUUUGGCAACCAGACCAGCAUCCAGGACAACACAAAAUUAUUUUCCUUAUUAUCUCUUCUGCAUAGGAUCUGCAAUCAGAACUAUUGAACUUCUCCAUUCAGACCGCCACUCACACCUAUGGGAAAAGGGUAAUGUAUCAUCGGCUUAGCAACAGGGAAUACUAUUCGUAUGAUGGAAAAUGGGGACAAAAGGCUUUGGUACAUAAAACAUUAUUCCUUCCUUGGCCUAAAAACUCAUCGCCACCUACAUUAAAGCUAAUAUGCCUGA
rnacentral:lncRNA from 1 species